rnacentral:rRNA from 1 species
GACGAACGCUGGCGGCGUGCUUAACACAUGCAAGUCGAACGGCAAGGCCCUGCUUGUGUGCGGUGCUCGAGGGGCGAAGGGGUGAGUAACACGUGAGUAACCUGCUCUUGACUUUGGGGUAACUUCAGGAAACUGGGGCUAAUACCGGAUAGGAGCCGCUGCUGCAUGGUGGGGGUUGGAAAGUUUCGGCGGUUGGGGAUGGACGCGCGGGUUAUCAGCUUGUUGGUGGGGUAGUGGCUUACCAAGGCAUUGACGGGUAGCCGGCCUGUGAGGGUGGACGGCCACAUUGCGACUGAGGGACGGACCAGAGUCCUACGUGGGGCAGCGGUGGGGAAUAUUGCACAGUGGGCGGAAGCGGGAUGCGGCAGCGCCGCGUGCGGGAUGACGGCCUGCGGGUUGAGAACCGCUUUCGCCUAUGACGAAGCGGGAGUGACGGUAAUGGGUGAAGAAGCACCGGCUAACUACGUG